UACGGGGGGAGCAAGCGUUGUUCGGAUUUACUGGGCGUAAAGGGCGCGUAGGCGGCCUCCGCAAGUCAGUUGUGAAAUCUCCGAGCUUAACUCGGAAAGGUCAACUGAUACUGCGGGGCUAGAGUGCGGAAGGGGCAACUGAAAUUCUUGGUGUAGCGGUGAAAUGCGUAGAUAUCAAGAGGAACACCUGCGGCGAAGGCGGGUUGCUGGGCCGACACUGACGCUGAGGCGCGAAAGCUAGGGGAGCGAACGGG
rnacentral:rRNA from 1 species